rnacentral:lncRNA from 1 species
CCUGCUUGUGGUCUCACAUUGUACCUCACUAUAGCAUAGAGCUUCCAGGUCCACAUGGAAUAAUGAUGGCAUAGCAACUGCCUUGUGCCUCCCAGAGUCAGAACCCGAUGGGCAUGAUGACUCCGUUGCUGAAAUUUCUGUGACUAGGUCACCUGGGAAGGAAGAGGCUUUCUCUAGAUAAAGGGCCAGCCUACCGCAGAACUGCAUGUGUGUUGUGAAGAUAGAUGCCUUCAAGGAAAAAACUCUGAGUGAGGUCCUAGCAUUUUAAUGGCUUCUAUGUACCAAGCCUCACGGCCCAGCAUAACACCUGCUCUGUUUCAUCACAACACUCAAGCCAUGCUACUUUUCUACCCAUAAGAACUGCCUUUUCCAAGCUGCCGGGCUGUCCAGUGAAAAAGAAGGCUCAAUGUCUUUUCAGCCCAACACACAGCACUGAGCUAGAGUUACUCUGCUGGUCUCCACUAUCUCCUGGCCUAUUUCCAGCUUUAAAACUUCUCAAAAUCAAAACUGCUUUCCAUAUUUAUUUUUUCAGUUCCAUAGAUAAUCCAUUUGAUUUUUGUUUACCCCGAUUAUCCCAAAUUGGAUGGUCUCAGAUGUGUUGAAAAAACUGUCUCUAGGCAAGGCCACAAGGUGGGGCAGUAAUAAGGAAUUGAAGGACUUGCGGUCUCUUCUGAAGUCUAAAUGAUAUUUUCUAGAACAUGCUAAA